AUUGAACGCUGGCGGCAUGCCUUACACAUGCAAGUCGAACGGCAGCACGGAGCUUGCUCUGGUGGCGAGUGGCGAACGGGUGAGUAAUAUAUCGGAACGUACCCUAGAGUGGGGGAUAACGUAGCGAAAGUUACGCUAAUACCGCAUACGAUCUAAGGAUGAAAGUGGGGGAUCGCAAGACCUCAUGCUCGUGGAGCGGCCGAUAUCUGAUUAGCUAGUUGGUAGGGUAAAAGCCUACCAAGGCAUCGAUCAGUAGCUGGUCUGAGAGGACGACCAGCCACACUGGAACUGAGACACGGUCCAGACUCCUACGGGAGGCAGCAGUGGGGAAUUUUGGACAAUGGGCGAAAGCCUGAUCCAGCAAUGCCGCGUGAGUGAAGAAGGCCUUCGGGUUGUAAAGCUCUUUUGUCAGGGAAGAAACGGUGAGAGCUAAUAUCUCUUGCUAAUGACGGUACCUGAAGAAUAAGCACCGGCUAACUACGUGCCAGCAGCCGCGGUAAUACGUAGGGUGCAAGCGUUAAUCGGAAUUACUGGGCGUAAAGCGUGCGCAGGCGGUUUUGUAAGUCUGAUGUGAAAUCCCCGGGCUCAACCUGGGAAUUGCAUUGGAGACUGCAAGGCUAGAAUCUGGCAGAGGGGGGUAGAAUUCCACGUGUAGCAGUGAAAUGCGUAGAUAUGUGGAGGAACACCGAUGGCGAAGGCAGCCCCCUGGGUCAAGAUUGACGCUCAUGCACGAAAGCGUGGGGAGCAAACAGGAUUAGAUACCCUGGUAGUCCACGCCCUAAACGAUGUCUACUAGUUGUCGGGUCUUAAUUGACUUGGUAACGCAGCUAACGCGUGAAGUAGACCGCCUGGGGAGUACGGUCGCAAGAUUAAAACUCAAAGGAAUUGACGGGGACCCGCACAAGCGGUGGAUGAUGUGGAUUAAUUCGAUGCAACGCGAAAAACCUUACCUACCCUUGACAUGGCUGGAAUCCCCGAGAGAUCAGGGAGUGCUCGAAAGAGAACCAGUACACAGGUGCUGCAUGGCUGUCGUCAGCUCGUGUCGUGAGAUGUUGGGUUAAGUCCCGCAACGAGCGCAACCCUUGUCAUUAGUUGCUACGAAAGGGCACUCUAAUGAGACUGCCGGUGACAAACCGGAGGAAGGUGGGGAUGACGUCAAGUCCUCAUGGCCCUUAUGGGUAGGGCUUCACACGUCAUACAAUGGUACAUACAGAGCGCCGCCAACCCGCGAGGGGGAGCUAAUCGCAGAAAGUGUAUCGUAGUCCGGAUUGUAGUCUGCAACUCGACUGCAUGAAGUUGGAAUCGCUAGUAAUCGCGGAUCAGCAUGUCGCGGUGAAUACGUUCCCGGGUCU
rnacentral:rRNA from 1 species